CCAAGCUUCAGCUUCCUCAAAGGCAGCAUUCUGUUUUGUCCUAGGAUUUCCUGAUACUUCAGUGAAUCCAUCUUGCUUUCCACACGCUGUGGGUUUCCAGUGCCAGAGGAUGCAAAGCAGCCCCAGCGCAUUUCUGAGCCACCACUAGGCUUCACUGUAGACAGUGUUCUUUUCAGCGUACGUUUCAUUUUUCUUCCACCAGACAUACCGCUGAUCCAUUGGGACGAAAAGUUCCAGUUUUGUGUAAUCACUAGACAGUAGAAUCCCAAAACGUUUGUGACUUAUUUAUAUGAUUUUGAGCAUAUUGGAUCCGGCUUUUCUUGUGCUUUU